rnacentral:lncRNA from 1 species
CUGUAAGAAGCAGCGGAAUUUUGGAAAUCGAAUAUACAAAAUAAGCUAAAAACGUUAAAAUUAGGGUCGUGACUGGGCAGGGCAUCGAAACCAAGGACAGCAGAAAGUGCAAAACCCAGGAAGUUGCUAUUAAACCAAUUUGGAGGUAGCUCUAUAUUUACUUUACGCCCAGAGCUCUGAUAGCUGAACCAAUCUGGUAUUUCACUUCCAGGAACAACAGUGCUGAAUUCAAUGUUCACACUCUCUGGGUUAUCCUGUACAUGAGAAUCAUGAUGAUGUUGAAACUCUUCUCUAAUUGUUUUCAAUAAAUAAACUUCAGAUUUCUUGAUAGUAUAACAGUGGAGCCACGUGGUACUCAUUUUUCAUCAAUUUCAACUGUAUGAUAUUACUGCAUAAUGAAAAUAAUGAUAUCAGAGAUAGAGAAUGGACUCACCUGAGCAUAUCCAGACCUCUUCUGAGUUUGAAGAAAAGUUGCCAGAGCCUGCAACAUGGACCCAAUGUUGUUUUGAUAGGUUUUAAUUUUCAAACAUUCACUAAAAGAGACAUGUCUAAGAGACGAGAAGAGCAACUGGUUUGAGAUUGUUUCUAAUGACAUGCAAUUAUGUGCAUCUAUCUCCUUUAUGCUUGAUGGAAGCUCCGACAAUGCUUGAAGCCUUCUGCAAUUUUGCAACUUAAGCCUUACAAGCUGAGAAAGUUGACUCAUGCUUGAAGGCAGGCUAAUAAAGUUAUUCCCACUUAAAUCCAAAUUUUCCAGCGAAGAUAAGAUUGCAAGGUGACUCAGGUCUGCUCCUUCUGAUAUAUUACAGUCUCUCAAAUUCAGUUUUUUUAGAGAGCCCAAACCUGACAACGGAGACAAUAGAAAUUUGCUGGAAUUUGAACUUUUUCUUGGCAACAACGUUAACCAUGAGGCAGAUGGUGGUCCUUUACAUCCAUUAAAGGAUAAUAAUUGAAGGUUUCUCAAGAGACAAAUCGAGGAGGGUAGUGCACUUAUAGCAGUUUCAUCUGCAUAUAGCUCCUUCAACUGUUCUAAUUAAGUUCCCAAAGUUCUCCGGAAAAUUUUCAACUUUUGAGCAACCAGAAAAAAUAAAAGUUUCCAGAGAUUUCAGCUUACAAAUGCUGUUUGGAAUAUUCUUCAGCAUUUUGCAGUCUCUCAAACUCAAGAAACUAAGCUUGCCCAAAACUCCAAGGGUUGGAUGAACCUCACGCAAAUACGUACACCCUGUGAGAGCUAACUUCUCAAGAUUGCUGAUCCCUGAGAAAUUUGGGGUCUCUACAAGAUAUUUGGAGUGACUGAGAUCCAUGAAUUUUAACUUUUCAAGAACCUGAAAUGAAUGACAAGUAGCUAGAAAAAUUAGCUUUCGCUGAUAUUGCAAAUUAUUAAAAAAAAAUGAAUAAAUUAUAAUCAUACCUUGAUUCCUUUCCAAAGUUGUUUAACAUAACUACAAGGCAGGCUGAGGUCAACAAGAUUCUUGGGGCUAAAAUCAUGCGGCAACAGCUUCAAAGGAUAUCCAUGUAAAUGUAGAUGCCUCAAUUCAUUGUAAUCAAAUUUAAAAUCCCGAGGAAUAUGCACUUUACAUUUCCUUUUACUAGUACAUUCUGAGUUUGUCGAGGGGAUAUAGUCAUAGAAUUUGAGCAAUCUAAGCUUAUCCAUCCCAGCAAAGGCCUUUGUUGUAAAGUGUAUCUCUUCUAUACCAGACAAGUUUAAAAAUAUGCCUUCAACUUCUUGUGUUCCCUAAUAAACAAGUAAAAAGGAUUAGUGAAAAACAUGCAAGAUAAAGGAUUUUUCUAGAAUUAUAUAAAUAUAUAGUUACUUAAACAAAAUUAAUAUGCUGUAUUUUUCAAUCUAAAUCUUUGUUACAAAAAAGUAAUUGAUGAAUUAGGUUCUCACCGUAUUUUUACUUAAUACAUGAUAGGCAUCUUCGUAAAUCCAUAAUCUGCUGCAUUUGCCAGGCUCUUUAGGGCUUGUUUGGCGAAUGAUUUCCCAACCCAUUUCUUGGAGUGAAUCAUGCAUCACUAUUUUGUCAUUGUUGGAAAUAGUUAUAAGAGACUUAUCAAUGAGACCUCUUAUUCCGCUAACUGCGAAGAAGCCACAACCAUCUAAUAUUUUUAUCACAUGAUCUUUAUCUUCACCUUUGAAAAAACACGCGAUAUCCAAAAAUAUGUUUUUCUCUUUGUCAUCCAACCCAUCAUAACUUAUUCGAAACACUUCUUGAAUUCUACCAUGAGGAGUAUCUUUUAGUUUGUCUAACUCACUUCUCCAUUCAUGUUUGCUCAUGCUAAAUAAAAAAGAGCCUAGGACUUUAAGAACUAAUGGAAGCCCUUGAGCAUAUGUUGUUAUAUUGUUGGAAAGCUCCAUAAAUUCGUCAAUAGCAAUUUGUUGUUUUGAGGCAUAACGUCUAAGAAACUCAAUAGCUUCAGUAUGAACUAAUUUCUUAACCUCAUAGACCCUCACUCCAUGUGACAUUAAUAAACGCUUAUCCCUAGUUGUGAUAAUGAUUCUACUUCCUUGUCCAAACCAAUCAUGGCUUCCAACUAAGUAUUCAAGUAUAUUUUGAUCAUGUACAUUGUCAAGAACAAUAAAGACCUUUAGGGAGCAAAGCCUUGCCUUUAGAGAAAUUGGCCCAUUUAACUUUAUAUUUUCAUGUCCUAGAAUUUGAGAAAGAAGCUUCUCUUGUAAACCUAUUAAACCUCAUUUUCUCAAAUCUUCUCCAACAUCUUCAAGAUAGGAGCAACCUUCAAAUUGACUAGAAACUCGAUCGUAAAUAGCUUGUGCAAGGGUUGUCUUACCAAUGCCACCCAUGCCCCAAAUUCCCACCAUGCGAACAUCAGUUGAUUCUGUACAUAAUAGUAAUUCCAUUUCUCGUAUUUGGGAACCUAUUCCAACCAGUUGGUCCAACGCCCAGAUUUGAAUCCCAAUGUUAACAAAGAGAUCCAACGGCCAGAUUGCUUCCAAAUUGUGAUCCGAUGGCCAGAUUUGAAUCCCAACAUUAACAAAGAGAUCCAACGGCCAGAUUGCUUCCAAAUUGUGAUCCAACGGCCAAAAUUAAUUUUGAAUGGUAACUUAAGGUUCCAACGACUAUUUUGGCCCAAAUUUCAUCUAUAAAUAGCCAAUUUUGCAUCAAUUUCAUCUAUUUUUGCUUUGAUUUUUCAUUUGCUCUCUUAUUACUCCAAUUUUUUCCAAGGUUGCUCAAUUAUUCAAUCAUUUUAAGGUAUGUUUAUUUGAAAUUAUAAUUAAUUUUGUUUGCAAUAAUUAAUUCAUGUAUUUUUAAUUAAUUAGUAUGUUUACAUUCAAUUGUAAUUAAUUUGUAUAUUUUUAUUGAAUUAAUUUAGGUUAUGAUAUAUUUAUUUUAGAUGAUUAUUUGUGAAUUAGAUUCACAUUUAGAAUUACAUUAAACUAGUUAACUUAGCUAAAUUAUUUAAUUAAUUUAAUUAACAUAGUAAAUUAUGUAAUUAAUUUAAUUAACAUGAUUAAUUAUGGAAUAUUAAAUAUGGAAUAUUAAAUAUGCUCAAUUUUUUUUAUCGCGAUUUAUUUUCAUAUUCAAUUAUGAUUAAUUUCAAUAUUUAGUAAAUUUGUCAUAAAAUUACAUUUAGAUUUAAAAAAUUAACUUAGCUAAAUUAUUUAAUUAGUUAAAUUAACAUGAACUACUAUAUAUGGAAUAUUAAAUAUGCUCAAUUUUUUAUAUUAUCGUGAUAUAUUUUCAUAUUCAAUUAUGAUUAAUUUCAACAUUUAGUAAAUUUGUCAUAAAAUUACAUUUAGAUUUAAAAAAUUAACUUAGCUAAAUUAUUUAAUUAAUUAAAUUAACAUGAACUACUAUAUAUGGAAUAUUAAAUAUGCUCAAUUUUUUUUAUCGCGAUUUAUUUUCAUAUUCAAUUAUGAUUAAUUUCAAUAUUUAGUAAAUUUAUCAUAGAAUUACAUUUAGAUUUAAAAAAUUAACUUAGGUAAUUUAUUUAAUUAGUUAAAUUAACAUGAACUACUAUAUAUGGAAUAUUAAAUAUGCUCAAUUUUUUUUUAUCGCGAUUUAUUUUCAUAUUCAAUUAUGAUUAAUUUCUAUAUUUAGUAAAUUUAUCAUAGAAUAGAAUUAUAUUUACAUUUAAAACAUUAACUUAGCUAAAUUAGUUAAUUAGUUUAAUUAACAUAGAUUUAGAUUUAAGUGUAUUUUUCUUGCAAUAGAUUUAGCAUGGCUAGUGAAGGUGGUUCUGUCGUGCCAGGGCGAGAUUCGGCUUGGAAGUAUUGUUCACCAAUUGAGGGUAACCGAAAUGGAACAAUUUGUAAUUUCUGUGGGUUGGUAAUGAAAAGUGGAGGCAUCACACGAUUCAAGUCUCAUUUAACACAUAAGGACCCGCAUAACAACACCAAAAAGUGUCCAAGAGUGCCGCCCGAAGUGAAAGAAGAGAUACGAUUGUUGGUGCAUGACAAACAAAAAGCAAAAGCAAAGAAAAAUGCUGACAUUGAAGACAUUCGUAGUCAAUUACAUGGCACAAUGGGGACGCAUCAUACACAUUUAGUAAACGAAGAUGAUGAUGAUGAAGAUGCUGAGGAUGAAGAUGAGUAUAUGUAUCCGACAGAUAUGCACCCAAAUGAGCGAGAUGCAUAUCGAUCUGCAGUUCAUGCCUCGAAAGCAUCUAAUUGGGAACGUGAACAACAUGAGAAUAUUGUAGGAAGAAAACGCAAAUCGGGAGAGUCUUCUACUGGUAUACCGUCGACAAUGCGAAAAUCACAGAGUAUGCGACAUUCGCAUCAUUCACCCCCUAUUGCCCCUUCGCUUUACAAGUCUUUUGCAGCAAGACAAAAAAAUAUCAAAGAUAUAUUCAAGGGUGGUGCAAUUAAAGAAACGAUGGGAUGCUUAAUCAGCAAAUUCUUCAUUUAUGAGAGUGUUGCACCCACAAAAGCAAAGUCUCAUCACUUAAAGAAUAUGAUUAUUGGUGCACAACAAGCAGGUAAUUACUAAUUUAUCAAAUGUUAUAUUGUGUUAUACUUUUAGUAAGUAUAGUAUUUUGUGACAUGUUUUACAUAUGAAGUGCAGGAAUGGGAAUCGACCUCCAUCUCCAUAUGAAAUAAAGAACAAAUACUUGGAAAUGGAGUACAAAGAAAUGGAAGCUUAUGUGAACCAACAAAGGGAAAAAUGGAAGACAUAUGGGUGCACAAUAAUGUCAGAUGGAUGGACAGGGCCCACGAAAUUAAGUAUUAUUAAUUUCAUGGUUUAUUCUAAAGGGACCACAGUGUUCCUUAAGUCAGUCGAUGCAUCGAACUAUAUCAAAGACCACAAGUAUAUAUAUGAGCUUUUGAAGACUAUUAUCAAAGAAGUCGGUAAGGAAAAUGUGGUCCAAAUUGUCACAGAUAAUGGGUCGGCAUUCAUGAAAGCAGGGAAACAAUUGAUGAAGAAGUAUAACUUAUAUUGGACUCCGUGUGCGGCGCACUGCAUCGACUUAAUCUUUGAAGACAUCGGUAAAAGACCCAGUGUUAUCGAUGUGAUAAACAAUGCUCGCAAGAUAACUAACUUCAUUUACAAUCAUGGUUGGUUACUAGCACAAAUGAGAAAGUAUUGUGGUGGAGACAUUGUUCGACUAGGAGCUACAAGGUUUGCUACCAAUUAUAUUGCUCUUGACAGUCUUCUCAAAAAAAGGGUUGAUUUGAAAAAAUUGUUUAUGAGUGAUGAAUGGGCACAACACAAACUCAGUCGAACAAAACUUGGACGAGAAUUGGAGCAAUUAUUGUUUGACCAUACGUAUUGGGACAGAUUGACAAAUAUAGUUUCAUUAUAUGAGCCAUUAUACGUGGUGCUUUGACUUAUGGAUUCUGAAGUUGUUCCCACAAUGCCAUUUGUGUACGAGCUUAUGCACGUGAUGAAAGAGAACCUUAUUCGUCAAGGAGCUGGAGAUUGGAUGUUCAAAAUAAUACAAGAUCGUUGGUAGUGAUCCGGAACUAUUUCAAGUUGUCCAUGAUGUUUUUGCAAAAUUAGAUCCAACUAUUGAAUCGCUUGGUCAAUUUGGAAAUGAGGUGAAUAAAAAAUUGUUAUUUUUGUCAAUAAAACAAUAAUUUCAUUCAUCAAUUUAUUUGAACAUUUACUAACAAAUUAAAUGUUGAAUACAUAGCUUGUACUUUUUCGAGAUGCAAAAAAAGGAUUUGGUGAUCGAGCGGCAAUUGCAUCAAGGUCAACCAUGGUGCCUGGUGAGUCUUUAUAGGAAAAAAUUGAUUAUUAUUAUUAUUGUAAAUUCACCACAUAAGUAUUUAUAUGAUUAUCAAAUUCGUUGCAGCUGAAUGGUGGUUUAUGUAUGGGAAUCAAAUACCUACAUUGAGAAAGUUAGCCAUCAAAGUUCUCUCACAAACUGUGUCAUCUUCUGCAUGUGAGAGAAAUCGGACCACGUUUGCUCUCAUCCACACAAAGCAACGAAAUCGUUUGGCUUACCCUCGAUUGGAGCAAUUAGUUUUUUGUUACUAUAAUAUGAGGCUAAAGUUACGCGAUAUGGAGGCAGAAAAUGAUUGAGUUGCUGAAAAAGAUUACCUUGAUCUUCUUGACAUUUCAGCCGAGGUGGGUGAAAAAGAAGAUAAUCAGUUGUUCCAGUGGGUUAGGCCUAUACACUUGGAUGACGAAGUUGGAAAUCCUGAUCCACGAAUUGCCGCUCAUGCUCGAGAAUUUGGAGUUAAUGUUGAACGUGUGUUGUUCGAAGAAGUUCACUCUAAAAGUUUUAGCAAAGAUACUGAUGAUUCAUUUCAUGUGGCAUUGCAUUCCCACCAAGAGAUUGACUCCACAAGUGCUGGCCAUAGUAGUAGACCUAGUGCUGCAUGUACUUCUGCUUCUGGUUACGAUGGUUCAAGAGGUGGAACUGAUGAUGGACGUGAUAAUGGGGAAGGAGAUAUUGAUGAACGUCGACAUAGUCAAUAUCCAAUCAGCCAAUUUACUUGUGAAAAUGAUUUCACACACUGCACACAGGAUGAAGACCAUGGCUCUAGAAGAGCUGGUCCAGGCAUAGGAGCUAUUGGGAAGCCUUAUAGAGGAAGAGAAUGAAUGAUGGAACCAUAUAACGAGGAGUUACUUUCAGGGAGUUUUGAAUCUAUGAGUAUAGGGACUCAAUUUAGUGACUCCUCGAAUGAGGCUAACGUCUACCCUCCUCAUGUGAUGAGUUAUGGUCAACCUUCAAGUUCAACAGAUGAAGAGCAUAGUAUGUCACGUUAUUCCCCUUCCAGACAAAUACCAUACCAAAUUCCAUAUCAGAUGGAAGAAGGAUUUAGUGUAUCCUAUCCAUGUAGAGGCAGUAGGCAGGACUCAAGAAAUAUAUGUAUGGCAUGUUAGAAUUUAUAACCAAUAUUAUAGAGGCUCAUUGAGUUGGUACCAAUAUUGUCUCCAACAGUAAGCCGGGGUUCCUUCAUCUAUCAAUCCUAUUGAACCACAUCGAUCCUCAUUUUGGUACUAAAGGGACAUUGCAAUGUAAUGUGUACAAAUUAUUGUUAUUUAAUGAAAUGAAGUAUUUUAUGUGACUUUAUAAUGAGAACAAUUACGAAAUUAACAUUUCUUAUAGAUCGACAUGAUAUAAUUACAUCUAAUAUCGCAAAUUAUAUCAUAUGUAUAUCAAAUUUUUCAAUAAAACAACUUUAAAAUGUCUAUUAUACUUCUAAUUAUAUUAUUAUGAGGUUUUUCUUGCAUUUCUAUGAAUUUUUAACAAUUUUAAGCCUACCGAUAUUUUUUUCCAGAAUAUCCGCCAAUAUAUCUCCGAUAUAUCCGAUAUAUCCAUAAAAUCGAAGUACCGAUAUAUCCGUGAUUACCGAUAUUUUCAUCCUUGGUUGGAACCAAGAUUAGAAAUUUGUUAAUUUGUAGGUUAUCUAAAGGGAACAAGGGGUUAUUACUUUUAUAGUCAAAUAAGCUAGAAGUUGUUUGUCAAUACAAAUUCUAGAUAUUUGGAAAAUGACUAUAUGUUGAGUAAUAAGACAAGGAGUGAGGUCGAUUUGAGAUCACUAGAUCAUACUCCCACAACAACAUAAAAAACUAUGGAUCUAGUACCAACAUUCCCAUUCUAGUGCACUGGUGCCUAAUCAUUGUAGGAAACUUGUCAUACAACGAGACUAAUUCAUGUAUUUGGAAGAGUCUUUUGAGGCCAUUCUAAAUGAACAUAAGAUUGAUCUCACAAAUUAUGAUGAAGCAAUGAGAGAUAUGGAUACACAUCUUUGACAAAGAGCUAUGGUGACAGAGUUAGAAUCUAUAUACUCUAACCAUGUCCAAGAGCUUGUAGAAGCACCUAAAGGGAUAAAACCCAGAGAGUGACAGUGGACCUAUAAGAGGAAGAAGGAGUAGAUGGAAAGGUGGAGACUUAUAAUGCUAAGCUUGUAGUGAAGGGGCAUGGUCAAAAACUUAGUUUCAACUAUGAGGAAAUCGUCUCGCCAAUAGCCAUGCUCAAGUCCAUCAGAAUACUCUUAUUCAAUAUGGCACAUCUCCAUUACAAGAUAUGACAAAUAGAUGUAUAAAGUGCAUUUUUAAAUGGCAAUCUUGAUUUGAGCAUCUAUAUGAUGCAAACAAAUGGAUUCAUAGCAAAAGGCCAGGAGCAUAUGGUAUGCAAGUUGCAAAAUCCAUUUAUGGAUUAAAGCAAAAAUCUCGCUCAUGAACAAACAUUUCAAUUAAUCAGUAAAGACUUUUGACUUUGAUCAAAACAAGGAUGAACCUUGUGCAUUGAAGAAAGUGCAAGGAAGCAUGGUGAUUUUUAUGAUCUUAUACAUAGAUGACAUUCUAUUUAUUGGUAAUGAUGUAGGGUUGUUGUCAUUAGUCAAAAUUUGGUUGCCUAUGUAUUUCCAAAUGAGAAUAUAGGAGAAGCACAAUAUAUUCUUAGGAUUAAGGUCCUAAGAGACCACAAGAAUAGGAAAUUAGCAUUGUCUCAAACCACUUACAUAGAAAACUUUUCGUCAAAUAUGUGAUAUAGGAUUCCAAGAAGGGUUUACUAUUCUUCAGGCAUGGAAUUCCUAUUUCCCAAGAUCAUUAUCCUGAGAAACUUGAGGAGAAAGAACACAUGUUAGUAGUACUCUAUGCCUCAAUAGUGGGUAGCUUAAUGUAUGUAAUACUAUGUACUUUACUGGAUAUUUGCUUUGCAAUGGGCAUGGUGAGUAGAUAUUAGUCAAAUUCAUCAUCAUCAUUACUAAUAUUAUAAAUUAAAUUAAAACAAUUUUUUAUUAUUAUUAUUAUGAUUGAAUAAUUGGUAAAAAAUAAAAUGAUGUUAAUAAUAGUCACAGUUCUAGAGAUGACUUAAUCCUUCUACGCAAAAAGGUUUUUCAAAACAAUGGUAAGUUUAGCAUUUUUCUUUCAAAAUUUAAGAUGUGCUAAAUGAUGCCGAGAGAACUCUUUCAAUGCCUUCUCAUUAUUUGUCGAAAUUUUGUGAAUAUAUGAUUUCAACUUUUUUCUUCUGAAGAAAAUUUUUAACUCUUUAAUAUUUGCCCUCAUGCUUUUUAUAUUAUCUUUUCCUUUUGAGUUUCUUUUUUUUUCUCUAUUUUUUUUCCAUGCAUUACUUCAUUUUUUUUUUCUUUUUCAUCUAUUUUUAUUGUUCCUUAUUCAUUCUAUAUGCUCAUGUUGGUAGUAAGAUAUAUUUCAUUCAUAGAUGGUUAUAGUGUUCACACAUCCACAUGCGCUUGGUAGGGUUGCCUUUUUUAGCUUCUUGUGCCAAAUAGAACUAACAAUACGGUCAUGAAACGCUAAACCUAAAGGCUAAGUUCACUCUGGUCAUUUCAAAUGUUAAACCCGAGAGUCUAACACUAGAAUGACCUUGAUUAACAAAUCCAAUAUGUAGCUAGCUGCUAGCUACCUCUAAUUGAUUGAAAAAAUAAUAGAGAAUAAUUAAAAAAAUUAUAAAUCUCAAAUCCAAAACUAAAUAAAAUAUCCAAACAAUAAAUUCAAGCAUUAUCCUAAACACAUAAACAAGUUUUAGAAAUCAAUACUGAAUUUAAUCUUAAGUAAAAAAUCUUAAAUAAUCAAAUCUAAAGCUUUCCUCACUAAUGUCACUUGUACUUAAAAUGUGGAAUAAUAGAACAUAGUGAGCUCUCCAACUCAAUAAGGAAAAAUAUAGUUCAAUAAAAAAAAAAUCAAAGAUAGUACAAAAUUAAAUCCUAGGGAUAUCUUUUUUUCUUUUUUUCUUUUUUUACAAAAAUCAACUAGCAAUUAAAUUCAUUUAAUUCAAUAAUUAAAUUCAUUUCAUUGAAAAAUUGAACACUUUCAUUUUAAAGAUAAAACAACAUUACACAUUUUGCAUAAUUAGUUCAUAUUUAAAAUAAUUACAUAAACAAACAUUUUACGUCAACUAUUAAUCAAAUUAUGCCCAAAUAAUGGGACUUGUACUAGGUAGUUAGCCUUAAUUGUUUCUUUUGCUAGUGGAUAGAACAUUUUCUAAUAAAUGGUAUACCAAAGGCUAAUAACAUCCUUACCUACUAGGGUUACUCUACAUCACUAUCCCUACCAAGGUAAUGAGGGUCAACAACUUAUCCCCUAUUGACUAGGGCCAGUGAGACAUGACACACUAUGAAUGAUUACCUUGGCCCAAGCAACACAAUAGCCAUCUGGAAGAGUUGCAUCUACCCCGCCCAUUGCUUCAUUGAAUUCCUUUUUGUACGUAUCCCUUAUUUGAAGUAGCUUCAGUAAUUCAAAUAUGGGAAAGAACGAGACAAGAUAGUCAAAGGUUGUCAAUCCAGUAUUGUUAACUGAAGCAAGAGAGUAAACCAUAAGAAGCAAAUGAAACAAAUCGAAGGAAUUGUUGGCAUAAACUCUUGGUUCAUCAAUCAACAAGCUAACAUCUCUAUAAGAGAAAGAGCGAGUGGGAUCACUAACCCAACUUUGAAGGCAGAAGCUAAGGGCUAUUCAUUUCCGGAAAGAAAGACAUUCUAUAUGAUUAUGGUACGCAGAUACAGUUUCAAAAGGACUUUGACGCUUAGGUAUUAAUGAGGACGACCCCUAGACCACGACUUCCUCAUGGCAGGAAAUGGUCACAUGGAACUCCACUCUCAAUAUGGAAUAAAGUUACUUUACUAUUUUUAUUCCGCUAUCAUUCAUCAGAUGGAGACAAACGAUAAUGGGAAUUCUUAAUAAUAUUUGAUGUUAAUAUUAUUCUUCCUAAUAUUUUUGUUAAUACUUUGAUUCUUAAUUUUCUUUAUAACUAAUAUCAUCUUAAUUAGGAGACAAUUCCCAAUUUAUAUAAAACUCUUAUUCCCAAAUAUGAUCAUAGAAAGAGGAUGAAACAAAUGGUAAAUCGUAAGUGGUUCUAAAAUUCUUAGUUUAUUAUAUCACAUGCAUAUAUAUUUUUUAUCAGCAUAAAAUUGAAUUUUUAGGAUAGAUUAAAAAAAAAAACAAAACCGCCUUUUUUUCUUUUACUCUUAUGUUUUAAAUUUGAAAUAUUGGGGAAAAAAAAUACUAUUAUAGUGGUCAUAAUGAUCAAGUAAUUAACAUGGCGUUUGAAUGCAUUUUUUUUUUAAAUUAAAACCUUCUACAUAGAAUAUAAGAACUCCUAUAGGAAACUCAAAAAUUUGUUUUUUGUUCUUAAAAAAUCUUUUUAAAAUUUGAGGAAGUGAAUUUUUUUUACUUCUUUAAUUAAAAAAUAAUUUUUAAAUACACAAGGUAUCUAACUAGUUUUCAUCACAGAAUUCUUAUAUUAUAUAUAUAUAUAUACGGGUAAUAAGAAAGAGAAGGACAUAACAUUUGAAGAUCUAUUUUUAGUGGCUAAGAUUUUUAUUUCAAAUGUAAUUCAUAAAAAUAUUAUUGUUCAGAUAUGACAGAGGGUGAAUGGCCUGCAGAGAUCGAUUCCUUUGUCCUCAAGUUUUUGUUUGAGAGUGCAAGUGAGAAAUGGACAAGAGGGAAAUUGUAGAGCUGUGAAUGAGUUUUAUAGUUUCUAUGUCCAUUAAACUUGAUUAAUUCUAUGGUUGUAUUUAAGAUUUUCGGUCUAAGAAAGGGACGUGACAUGGGAGACAACGUCAAGAAUACUCUAUAGAAUGAUUGUAGAUGCACUUCAAAGAUGCUUUAAAAGAACAACUUUAAAGUUCAACUAAAGUUGUCUUUUCAAUAAAAUUCAUUCGAAGUGUAGUAGAAUUGAAAAAUAUUUUUUUAAUUGUUAUAUUUUUAAAAUUACCUCAUUUUUAUUUAAAAAAAUCUCGUAUAGGUUGUGUUGGUGCUCAACCAACAAUUUCUCCUCUAAGUAGUUUCUUCCACUUCCUUGCUAGAUGAACCUACAAAAAAGUGUCUAGAUUUUUGUUUGGGCAAAGUCCUCAAUUGGCUAAAUUAGCUUUGGGGAGUAUUUUUGGCAGAGUUUUGGUAUGGGUUAGGGUACAUACCUUUCUUCGAGUUGUCCGAUGGAUUUUAUAGAAAGGAAUUUGUAAUGUUACUCUUAUCCUUAUGAUUAUGAUUUAUUGCAAUUUUAAUGUGUAACGCCUAUGGGGACUUCCCUCCAUGUGUCCUACCCGGACUCAAGACCCUUUGGCCAUCCAGAGCAUACACAUAACCCGUCUGGGAUCACUUCGUCUGGACCAAGAUGAGCUCCGUUUAGCACCAGAAGUGAGAAGCUUUCCUUCUUCCAUAAUACCAGAUAGAUGGACAGACCAAGCCGAAUGACCUUUCAGACAAUGCCAGACAAAAGGGACUGACCAAGCUGGUUGAACCUAUCAAGCGGGCAAAUCCAUCCAGUCAAGUUCUUAGGAUUUUUGACAUGCGCCAUUCUAGACGACUGAUGUCUAAGCGCCGAACUAGCCGCUUGACGUCUAAGCGCCAAACUAGCCUCUUAAUGUCUGAGCGUCGGACUAGCCGCCUGACGUCUGAGCUACAUAGUCCAAGAUUUCGGCACGACAGUCAGUAGAUGACACCAAUCAGCCACCCUUACUUGAUAUGAUUGCCCAACAGUCCGCGCCACAAUAACGGCUUGACAGUCAAUGUAAUCAUCAUUACAAGAUAAGAACGGUGUCAUCAGCUCUAUAUAAACCCCUCAAAAAGUAUGAACAAGGUACACACGCAUGCACAUACGCUCGUUCUCUCCCAAAAAUAUUUAGAGUUAUCAUUGUCUAACUUAAGCUUCGGAGAGGGCAUGCCUGGACCACCUGUCCGAACAUCCUUUUGUGCAGGGAAAAACUCCGUCUGACUCUAGUGAAGCUAGACAGACUCCUCAAGAAGCACGAACAAGGGAAGUGUCCGCCUAACUCUAGUUAGGACAAAGACACUAACAUUGGCGUGUCUGUGGGAACGGCAAAGGAUGUCAACACCCUCCAGAAGCCGAUCAUCAGCCAUGGGUAGUGUAGACUACCUCACCUAGCGUGAGAAUAUGGAAAGUCACCAACGAAUGAGUGAUCGGCAGAUGCACUCUCUGCUCCUCCAAAUGAAGCGACUCAAACAAGAGAAUGAAGAGUUGCAGGCACAAAUGUCAGCAUCAGGCCCCUUUCAAAGUCGUCACCCUCAAAGCCAACAAAUAGCCUCAAGACGGACCGAUGAGGAAUCUUUCCCCAGGAACACGGAGUUCUCCUCUGGCAGCUACAUGACACGGUUUGAGGAGGAGCUUUCCCCAACUCACCAAACGUAGCUAGACGAAAGCGCCGACUCUACCUGAACAUCAUGAAGAUGAGGCGUGUCAGAAGGCCGCGUUUGUCAGAUGUGAUGCAAGCCCGAUUGGGACCUCAAGCACCAAGCGUGGAGGGGCAACCCUGCUUAUCAGGAACCCUAAAGGCUCGUUUAGGUCCCUCAACCGCAAUAUCUAUGCCAGAACGACCCUCUCAACCAUUAAGGCAGCAACAAGCUAGGGCCCUGGCGACCCGAGCUCCGCCCGGCUCUAUUAGCCGGCGGUUGGAUCACAUGCUCUCUAUACCGCUCGACCCUCAUAUUAUUAACUAUGAGCCAUCUAAGGGGUUCAUAGUGCCAAAAUUCACGACAUACGACGAAACAAGCGAUCCGUUCGAUCACAUCAUGCACUUCAGACAGCUCAUGACCCUCGAUAUAGGAAAUGAUGCACUGUUGUGCAAGGUCUUUCCGACGAACCUACACGGCCAAGCUCUUUCUUGGUUCCACCAUCUUCCAUAGAAUUCCGUGAAUACUUUCCGAGGUGUAUCGGAAGCCUUUGUGGGCCAUUACUUAUGUUCGACUCAUCAUAAGUAGAAUAUAAGCACCUUGCAGAACAUCAAGUUGCAGGAGAACGAGUCGCUUAGAGACUUCAUGAGUAAUAAGUAAUAAGUAUUAAGUUCUAUCAAACACUUCCUUAAAUUUUUAUAAAAAAUAAAGUCUUAACGACACUUUUAUAUGAAUUUUUAUUUAAAUUUCAGUCCCUUUAAAGCACAUUUACAUGAUCUGAUUAUUACUAUUAUUCGAAAUAUUUAAGUGAACAAAUCUAGAGAUUUUUUAAUGCAACUUCCCUCAACCCAAUUAAUUUGCCAACCUUUGUCGGUACAUAGGCCAAAAAAUACAUUAAAUGGGAUGGGAGACCAAUAUUUUCUCACUUUUAUAUAUGGGUCCUUUGCCUUCUUAAUUAUGUCUCACUUUCCUUCAUUUCAGUCCACAUAAAUAAUUUAUAUUAAAUAUUUAUUAUUAUUUUUAUUGAUUUUUUAAAAUUUUCUUUUAAAAAUAGUUUCCUAUUAAAACAGUUCUUGGUUGGAAUUUAGUGAUUUAAGUAAUUUAAUUAACUUAUUUUUUUAUAGGAGAAUUAUCUUUUGGGGUAGAUGGACCCCCAAAUUAACGAAAGUUCCAUAUAAUUCUUCAAAUUGAGUUGGAGGAUAUGAAAUAGUAAUGGAUAAAUAUACCCUUUAAGAACACAUAUAAAAUAUUUUAUAAAAUUAAGUUAAAUAAUUUUUUUUAAUAAUUUUUUUUUUCAAAAAUACUAAAUUAAAUAAAAGUAGUUUUCAAAAAUAUUAAAUUAAAUAAUUUUUUUUUCAAAAAUAUUAAAUUAAAUAAUUUUUUUUUCAAAAAUAUUAAAUUAAAUUAAAGUAUUUAAAAAAAUAUUAAAUUAAAUAUUUUUUUUAAAUAUUAAAUUAAAUAAAUUUAUUUUUAAAAAAUAUUAAAUUAAAUAAAAAUAUUUUAAAAAAUAUUAAAUUACAUAAAAGUAUUUUUUUAAAAUAUUAAAUUAAAUAAAAGUAUUUUUAAAAAAUAUUAAUUUUUUUCUCAAAAUCAACAAAUGGCAUUUUUGGAAAUACUGAAGGAUGAUAUCCUUCAACUUAAUUUUCAUACUUUUAUUGGGUCUUGGGCUCAAUUUGAAGAGUUACAUGGACUUUUUGUUAAUUUAAGGGUCCAUCUACCCCAAAACAUAAUUCUCCCUUUUUUUAUAAACUCAUUUUAUAAUUGUUAUUUAGAAUGAGCAAAAUCAUGAUAUAUCGAUGAUAUUUCGUUGAAAUAUUAGAUUUCAGUUAUCAUACGCAUGGUGGAGAAGUAUCAAAUCUGGCAACUUUCCGGAUAUUUUGACUAUUUUUCGGCAAUUACUGAUUUUUUCCCCCCAUUUUUCGCUUAUUUUUUGGGAAUUUCCUGAUUAUAUCAAUUUGGUCAACGACGGGCUGUGACUCAGUCAAACAGCAGCUACUAUUGGUCAAACCUUCACUGACCACCGAACAAUUUGGGUGCUUGGUUUUAUGUACGCAUGAAAAAAACAUAUAUAUAAAAUAUUCACAUUUGUCCUAAAAACAAAAUAUGAAAAGAAUAUUUUAUUAAAUAAAUUAAUUUUAAUUAUUCUAUUUUUAAAUUUGAUUUUAUUUACUACCAAAUAUAUAAAAACAUAAUUUUUUUAAUAAGUCAUUUUAUAUAAUUUGUAUAUUUAUUAAAUAUAAAAAUAUUAAAAUAUUAAAAAAAUUAUACAUAUACUAUCAUUUAUUGUAUAUAAUUAAAUACAUUUGACUUAAAAUGAACGAUAAUUUUAAUAUUAAACAUAUUAUCAUAAUAUUAUUGUAGAAUAAUAUAUAGUUGUAGACCCUCGUUUGGGGCUCGUUUUAAUUUUUUCUGCAGUUUGAGAAAAAUAAAAGCUAUGCUUAGUUAAGAAAAACACCCAAAGGAGGAAGGGGGGAGGGGGGGUGUGAAUUGGGUUUUUAAAAUCUUUUCAAUCACAACAAAUUCAAACACAAUAUAAGCAAGAUAAAGAGAUAGAGUUUAGAGAAUUCAAACUCGGGUUUAUAGUGGUUCGACACUUCCUUGCCUACGUCCACUCUCCUCAAUCUCCUAACCGAGUGGGGAUUCCACUAACUUGAAACUUCAACCAAGCUUCCAAUCUUCUUACACUUGGUUUCCGGCUCCAAUGGGCUCUUACACAAUCUCUUCAAGAUUCAAACCUCUUGAAGGCUUUAACACUCAGAUUUUUACAAGAAAUAAUCCUUCAACCUAGCUUAAGGAUAACUCAAAUACAAGACAAAGCUAGGAUGACACAAGAGUGCAUUAAAGGAUAUGCAAAUGGUGAUUUAAUGCACUUUGAAAGAAAUGAGAGCUUUUUUUUUAUCAAGAACAGGUAGGUAGACCAUUGAAUGCAAGUGUUCUCUUAUCAAUAAAUGAAGUGGAGUUCUCAAUUUAUAGGUUUCUAAGCUCAGGAUUCAAAAACAGCAAAAGGUAAUCUCGUCCAAUCGAGCUAGGGGUCAACUGGUUCACUAGCCAUUAGAGCAUUUAAUGCAUGACAAGUUACCGUUGCCUCGACCGGACCUUGACCAAGAAGAGAAUCCCCUCGACUGGGAAGAGAAGGCUAUUGGGAGAGAGAGAAACUUUUUGACCUCCCUCGACCGGUCCUUGACCGGACGAGCACAACCGAUUGACCAGUUCCUCAACCGAUUGAGUCGGUUGGCCAUAACCUCGACCGGUUGAACCUUUUUGGCCCCGAAAACCUAUAAUUCCUUUCUUUUCUAACACUUAGGCAAGGUCUUUAGGUGAAUUAUUAAGCCAAUUAUAAAACAUUUUGCCUAAGGUACAUUAGUUAAAAACUUAGGUUUUAAUGAAAUCGAAGUUUUAAAGAAUAAACCGAGUUUUCUAAAUUGCAUGAAACGUGUGAAAAUCCUAAGUGCACUCAUGCAUUCAUCUUACAUUAGUUUCCUAUGAUCACAAGUCUUCUAAAUGUCUUGAUCUUGUAUCCAUUUGGUCAUUUGAUGAAUUUUCGAGUUUAUGCAUGAGAUUCUUAACCAUUAAACAAAUUAGUCACUUAACCAUGGUUUGUUAUCAUCAAAACCCGAUUAGGAGAACCCUUGGGCUAACAAUCUCCCCCUUUUUUAUGAUGACAAACCUUGGUUAUCUAGGAGAAAAAAAAAUCUACCCCUCAAACCAAUCAUGGAUCAAUCAAAUAAUUUUUAAUAGAAAACAAUGGAAAACACGAAAAUUUGAAUAGGAAGCAAUGGAUCAUGAAAAUAUCAUUUCAUAUAUAUAUAUAUGCUAACCUCACAUGUACAUGAAAACAUAUACUAAACAAGAUAGAUAUGACAAUGAUAACAAUGACAUGCAUGAGGAUCUCCUAGAUCCUAUAUAUUUCUCCCCCUUUGGCAACAUAAAAAAGAAACGGAUGGGGAACUCUAGAUAAUCUCAAGGCUGAAGGGGUGGAGGAGGAAACACAGAGCGGAGGUAAGCCAUCAUCUCCUCAUGCUGACUCGCCUGACAACUCUCAAUGCGAUCAAUGCUCUGCUGGAAAUGCUCGAAUGUAGCCUGCUACUGAUCCAUACACUCUCUAUGCGCUCAAAUCUCUGCUGGAAGUGAUCAAAUCGAGAAGUGACUCCAGUCUGAUACUAAUCCAUGUGCUCCUCCAUAGAGUAGAAACGAGUUUCAUAGACUAAAGCAAACUCCUUCAUACGAGUCCCAAGGGAGCUUAUCUGAGCAGAGACAUUCAUCCAAGGCGCAUGAUCAGGAGUGUGAGAAGCCUAAGAUGGUAGCUCUGUGUGAGGAAACUAGGUUAAUUAUGGUUGAGAUGAUGGUCCUGUUGUGUAAGAUGGCUCAGUCAUCAUAUGCUCUGAAAAAGUGGCCUCAACAUGAAUGCCCUCUGACUGAGGUGGAGGUGGAAUGUAAAACGCGGGCCUUCUCUACUCAAAAUCCCUCUAAGGGUCUAACCCGUCCUCCAUCUCUCUGAUCUCGGCCUUCUUCUCUGCUCCAAGAUGCAUCUGUCCCUGACCCUGAGCCUGUCUCUCAACUCUCCUAAUCCAGGAGCCAUCGGGUGCUUUCUCGAACUUCAUUCGCCUCAAGGACUGCUCAUCGUACAUGUCAUAGCUAGUGGGGGCCUCGAAGUCCAUCUCUCUACUUAAGUCGACCCCGGCAUCUUUGAAUACUCGGGUAAGGAAGCAGUCAUAGGGGAAUACUUGUGUCGUGUUCUCAACGCAGGAUAUCAUAUGCAUCAUCAUCAGAUAUCCAACGUGAAUCUGUCUCCCGGUGAGGAUCCAGUCCACAAUAAAUGCCUCAAGGUAGGAAACCUCGUCUCAAUGUCCUCUCGUGGCAAUAAGAUGGGGCAAAUCAUGUGAUGAAGGACUCAGCUAGGCACGGUCAGGCUGUGUGCUGAUGGUUUGCCCAUCCCCUGGGCAUCUGCGAGUCCACACAACCUCUGAACAACCUCUCUAGGCUUGAAUCCCGGCACAGUGGGCCACGCCUUGGCCUCAUACACUCGGAGUCCAACUAAAGGAAUGUCGAGAAUGCGGCAGAUACUCUUAGGGCUCAAUCUGAUCUCAACUCCUCUAACUGUGGACAAGACUGGUCUUCCAAGCCCAUAGGUCGCUCGUGAAUAAAAAGCCCGUACUAGAGUCGGGAAGAUCGACUCGGAAAUCGUCACGACUGGCAGCCAUCCCAUCCAACCGAAGAGUCCCUCAAACCCAAAAUGCUAAAGUUGGGAGAAAUUGAUACUUCUCCCUGUGACGACUUUCCUCUGGGGCGAACUUUUGCUUGUACCGCUGAUAGUCUUUGACAGAACUGAAGAGUGUCGUAUCAUACCUUGCCUUUCGACGAGCCUCCGUCUGCUCAGGUUGAGAUGGCUUAGCAGGGCGCUUGCCUUGAGCCUUGGAGGUGCCCGUUUCUCGCCUAGGAGCCAUCCAACGAACGGAAUAGGGAGAAGGAAAAGUCCAAAAGGAGAAUGAAAUCAAACAAGAGAUAGCAAACACCAACCCGAAGCCCUAUGUGCAUGGAGAUGAGGCUGAAUCCAAGCUUGAGGCGCGCGGUCAGAGAGAAAUCACCCCCAAAAAUUGAAACCCUGGGUUUCAAAUCAAAACCCUAGCCUCAAAAUGUCCCAAAAUCAAUUCCACAACCUUCAAUCAGUCCAAAAUCCAACCCAAAAUGGUCUCUGAAAGCAGGUAUGUGAAGGGUUUUCAAGGAGUAAAGGAGAACAGUGAGAGAAAUAACGCGCGGAGGGGCUCUUUAAAUUCCUAGCCCCUACGAACCAGUCGACCGGUUCCUCAACCGGUCGACCGCUUGGUCAAUGGUCAACGGGCCAAAUUUUUUGCAUUUUCUUGUCUCGUGAUCCUCCCUCUCCCCUUUUCAGUUGAAAUCCCUAAUUUUUUAUGUCCAAUGCCACGGGAAUUUUGAUUUUUGGUCAAAAUUUGACCUCUUUCCUAAGAUGAUUUCUAUAUGAUGCUUAUGAUAUGAAAUUCAUGCAAUCAUAAGGUAUAUUCAAUCAAGCAAUCAUUUGAUCAUAAAGAAAUCACCCCUAGUUGUCUUCUAAUAUCAACAAAUUGCUUUUCACUUAGGGGUUUUGUAAAAAUAUCGGCAAGUUGAUCUUUUGUGCUUACAAAUUCAAGUGUAAUGUCACCCUUUUGUGCAUGGUCUCUAAGAAAUGGUGUCUAAUCUCUAUAUGCUUAGUCCUAGAGUGUUGCACCGGAUUUUUUGAAAUGUUUAUGGCAUUAGUGUUAUCACAUUUAAUAGGAACAUGCUCAAAAAUCAAAUUGAAAUCACUAAGUGUUUGUUUCAUCCAAAGGAUUUGUGCACAACAUAAACCGGUUGCUAUGUAUUCGGCUUUCGCCGGAGACAAAGCUACCGAAUUUUGCUUCUUACUAUGCCAUGAAACAAGUGAGUGUCCUAGGAAAUGACAAGUGCCACUAGUGCUUUUCCUCUCAACUUUACAACCGGCAAAAUCGGCAUCCGAGUAUCCAAUUAAUUCAAAGUUAUCACCCUUAGGAUACCAUAGGCCUAUGUCCAUUGUCCCUUUUUAAUAUCUAAGAAUACAUUUUACAACACUUAAAUGAGAUUCUUUAGGACAAGAUUGAAAUCUAGCACACAAGCAUACACUAUACAUGAUGCCAGGUCUACUAGCGGUCAAAUAUAGCAAAGAACCUAUCAUGCCUCUAUACAUAGUUGAGUUGACAGACUUUCCUUUCUCAUCCAUGUCAAGCUUGAUGGAUGAACUCAUUGGAGUCUUCAUUGUUCUGGCUUCCUCCAUAUUGAACCUUUUGAGGAGAUCUCUUAUAUACUUUGCUUGAUUGAUGAAGUUUCCUUCCUUUAGUUGCUUGAUUUGAAGUCCAAGGAAGAAGUUAAGUUCUCCCAUCAUGCUCAUUUCGAACUCACUAUGCAUGCAUUUAUAAAAUUCCUCACAAAGAGAGACAUUAGUAGCUCCAAAAAUGAUAUCAUCAACGUAUAUUUGCACUAAGAGCAUGUCAUUUUCUUUGGUUUUUAUGAAAAGAGUUGUGUCAAUUUUUCCCAUUUUAAAACCCUUUUUCAAAAGAAAUUUACUCAAUCUUUCAUACCAUGCUCUAGGUGCUUGUUUCAAACCAUAAAGUGCCUUUUUAAGUUUAAAAACAUGAUUAGGAAAGUUAAAACUUUGAAAACCGAGUGGUUGUUCAACAUAUACCUCUUCAUUUAUAAAGCCAUUUAAGAAAGCACUUUUCACAUCCAUUUGAUAUAAAACAAAGUCUUUAAAACAUGCAAAGGCAAGUAGCAUCCUAAUGGCUUCCAAUCUAGCUACGAGAGCAAAGGUUUCUUCAUAAUCUAUCCCUUCUUCUUGAUUAAAACCUUGGGCUACCAAUCUUGCUUUAUUCCUUACAAUUAUGCCAUUUUCAUCCAUUUUAUUUCUAAAGACCCAUCUAGUUCCAAUAACACUUUGAUUUUGAGGUCUUGGCACUAAUUCCCAUACUUCACUUCUUUCAAAUUGGUUUAAUUCUUCUUGCAUAGCAAUCAUCCAAUUUUCAUCAACUAGAGCAUCUUUUAUAUUUUUAGGUUCAAUUUGAGAUAUAAAAGCAAGAUUAUUGCAAAUAUUUCUAAGAGAUGAUCUAGUUCUUACCCUACUAGAUAGAUUACCUAUAAUUUGAUCUUGUGGGUGGUUGAUGACAAACUUCCAAUCUUUAGGGAGGUCUUGGCUUGAUUCACCUUGCACUUGUUAAGGAGAAGGUAGUGCCAAAGGUGAUUCUUCUUUCUUGGGAUCCUCUACAACUUCUUCUUGUUGCCUUCUAUCUUCAAUUUGUAAUUUUCCCAUGGAGGUCUCCAAGCCUAAAUCAUCAUCAAAGCUCUCUCUUUCUUGGAGAGAAUUGUUAGAUUCAUAAAAAAUAACAUGGAUGGACUCCUCAACAACCAUGGUUUUUUUUGUUAAAAACUCUAAAGGCUUUAUUUGAAGUUGAGUAACUAAGAAAAAUUCCAAUAUCCGAUUUUGCAUCAAAUUUUCCAAGAUUGUCUUUAGUGUUUAAUAUAAAGCAUUUGCACCCAAAGACUUUGAAAUAGUAAUGUUGGGUUUUUUGUUUUUCCAAAGCUCAUAGGGAGUUUUCUUAAGAAUAGGCCUUAAUAUAUAAAAUUCUAUUUAAAACAUAACAAAAAGUGUUAACCGCUUCGGCCCAAAAGUAUUUUGGUAAAUUGUUUUCAUUUAGUAUGGUUCUAGCCAUUUCUUGAAGAGUUCUAUUUUUCCUUUCAUCUACCCCCUUUUGUUGAGGAGUUCUAGGAGCUGAAAAAUUGUGGUUAAUACCAUGCUCAUCGCAAUAGUCUUCAAAAUCAAUAUUUUCAAAUUCUCUCCCAUGAUCACUUCUUAUAUAAGUAAUUGUAAAACCUUUUUCAUUUUGAACCUUGUUGCAAAACUUUGAAAACUCAUAAAAGGCUUCAUUCUUUUGGCUUAAAAAUAAGACCCAAGUGUAUAUAGAGAAGUCAUCCACAAUAACAAAAGCAUAAGAUUUUCCUCCAAGGCUUGGUGUCCUAGAGGGACUAAAUAAAUCCAUAUGCAACAAUUCAAGAGGCCUAGUUGUUGAAAUGAAAUUUUUGUUUUUAAAAGAGUUUUUGAUUUGCUUUCCCAUUUGACAAGCUUCACAAACUUUGUCUUUUUGAAAAUUUAUUUUGGGAAGGCCUCUAACAAGUUCAUCUUUGUUGAGUUGGGAAAUAAGGUCCAUGUUAACAUGUCCCAACCUCCUAUGCCACGACCAACUUUGAUCAUGCAUGCUUGAAAAGCAUCUAUCAUGGCCAUCAUAUUUUGAAAUAUUUAUUACAUAAACAUUAUCACAUCUAUGGUCCAUGAAGAUGGUUUUAUCAUUUUGAAUAUCUUUGAUAAUGCAAUGAGAUGCUUCAAAAAUCACUUUAAAUCCUUUGUCACAAAGUUGACUUAUGCUCAAAAGAUUAUGUUUUAAACCAUCCACUAAUAAAACACUUUCAAUAUGAGAGGAUGUGUCAUUACCAAUGUUACCUUGACCAAUGAUCCUCCCUUUUGAAUUGUCUCCAAAGGUAACGUAUCCUCUCUUUCUCUUUGUAAGGAAAGCAAACUUAGAUUUAUCCCCAGUCAUGUGUCUUGAGCAUCCACUAUCCAAGAACCACUUAUCAUUCUUUGAUCCCUCAUCAAGAUCAUCUAUUGCCAUGAAGCACAUGUUUGCCACUUCCUUCUCCUUUUCUUCUUCGGAGGAUUCUUCACUUUCACUCCAAGUGGCCAUCAUUGCCUUCUUCAUUCUUCUCUUGGCUUCACUCUUGUAGAGAGGACAAUCAUAUUUAAAUGUGUCCCAAAUUUUUGCACUUGAAGCAUAUUAAAUCUCUUUUCUCUUCCUAUUUCUCCUUAUCACCAUGGGAUGAAGAUUCCUUUUUAGAAGGAUCUCUUCUAGAGGUGAACUUCCUUCCUCUAAACCUUUCACCUCUCAUGUAUUUGUUGAGCUUUCUUGUGAUGAGGGUCAAAUCAUCAUCUUCAUCACUUGGUUUUUCUUUUUCAACAUCUUAUUCUUCCUUGGUUGUAGCUUUGAGGGCUAUGCUCUUCUUCUUUUUGUCUUCACCCUCUUGUAGCUUCUUUGUCAAAUUGAUCUCAUAUGUCAUUGAUGACCUUAUGAGCUCUUCCAUAGGUAGUUUAGUCAAAUCUUUUGCUUCUUGAAUUGCAGUGGCCUUGGUAUUCCACUUUGAUAGGAGAGACUUCAAUAUCUUCAUCACCUUCUCGGAUUCCUUGUAGGUUUUUUCCAAAGCUUCAAGACCAUUGACAAUGUCGGUGAACCUAGUAAUCAUCUCAACAAUAGUCUCAUUUUCUUUCAUUGAAAACAAUUCAUAGUUAUGAACAAGUAAAUUAAUUUUUAACUCUUUCACUUGAUUAGUUCCUUCAUGAGUUAUUUCAAGCAACCUCCAAAUUUCUUUAGCUGAUUUGCAUUGACAUAUUCUAUUGUAUUCAUUUCUAUCCAUAGCACAUUGCAAAGUAAAAACGACUUUAGCAUUUAAUUGAAAGUUUCUUCUAUCAAGCUCAUUCCAUUCUUGGUUAGGUUUUGGAACCAAAAAUCCAUCAACUAGUUUAGUGGGAAAAUUUGGGCCAUCUUCAAUGACAUCCCAUACAUCUAAAUCAGUAGAUUGCAAAUACCAAGUCAUUCUAGUUUUCCAAUAGGAAUAGUCGGUUCCCGUAAAGAAUGGAGCUCUAUGUUUUGAAAAAAUUUCAGCUUGGGAUGAGCUUGAUAGAAUAGUCAUUUCCUCUUAGAUGAUUAAGUCUUUAAAAAAAAAAAGAGGUCUAGCUCUGAUACCAAUUGAGAAAACAAAGGUUAUGCUUGGUUAAGAAAAACACCCAAAAGAAGGGGGGGGGGGGGGUGAAUUGGGUUUUUAAAAUCACAAUAAAUUCAAACACAAUAUAAGCAAGAUAAAGAGAUAAAGUUUAGAGAAUUCAAACUCGGGUUUAUAGUGGUCCGACACUUCUUUACCUGCGUCCACUCUCCUCAAUCUCCUAACCGAGUGAGGGUUCCACUAACUUGAAGCUUCGACCAAGCUUCCAAUCUUCUUACACUUGGAUUCCGGCUCCAAUGGGCUCUUAUACAAUCUCUUCAAGAUUCAAACCUCUUGAACAUUUUAACACUCAGAUUUUUACAAGAAAUAAUCCCUCAACCUAACUUAAGGAUAGCUCAAAUACAAGACAAAGCUAGGAUGACACAAAAGUGCACUGAAGGAUAUGCAAGUGGUGAUUUAAUGCACUAUGAAAGAAAUGAGAGUUUUUUUUAUCAAGAAUACGUAGGUAGUUUAUUGAAUGCAAGUGUUCUCUUAUCAAUAAAUGAAGUGGAGCUCUCAAUUUAUAGGUUUCUAAGCUCGGGAUUCAAAAAUAGCAAAAGGUAACCUCGUCCGGUCGAGUUAGGGGUCGACCGGUUCACCAGCCGUUGGAGUAUUUAAUACAUGACAGGUUACCGUUGCCUCGACCGAUCCUCAACCGAACCUCGAUCGGGAAGAGAAUCCCCUCGACCGGGAAGAGAAGGCUAUUGGGAGAGAGAAACUUUUUGGCCUUCCUCGAUCGGUCCUCGACCGGACGAGCACAACCGGUCGACCGGUUCCUCAACCGAUUGAGCCAGUUGGCCAUAAUCUCGACCGAUUGAGCCUUUUUAGCCCCGAAAACCUAUUUUUUUAAUUUCUUUCUUUUCUAACACUUAGGCAAGAUCUUUAGGUGAAUUAUUAAGCCAAUUAUAAAACAUUUUGCUUAAGGUACAUUAGUUAAAAACUUGAGUUUUAAUGAAAUCAAAGUUUUAAAGAAUAAACCGAGUUUUCUAAGUUGCAAGAAAUGUGUGAAAAUCCUAAGUGCACUCAUGCAUUCAUUUUAUAUUAGUUUCCUAUGAUCACAAGUCUUCCAAAUGUCUCGAUCUUGUAUCCAUUUGGUCAUUUGAUGAAUUUUCAAGUUUAUGCCUAAGAUUCUUAACCAUUAAACAAAUUAGUCACUUAACCAUGGUUUGUUAUCAUCAAAACCCGAUUAGGAGAACCCUUGGGCUAACAAUUUUCUUUGCCAAGUGGAAGGCUCUUUCAAGAGCCACGUGCUGCCUCAAGAGAGGCUGCUAUAGAUUCAGCUAGUGCUAUUGAAUGAGCCAAUGAGAAUGAGACGCCUGUAAAGGAGGGAAUCUGCAAAAGCCGUUGUGGAAAAGCGCAUUCUGUUACCUGCAGGGAGGAUAUUCGAGCAAAGAAAGAGGUGCGUUUGGGGACGUUUAGGUAAGGAGAUAUUUUGGGAGGUGAUUGUUGAGCUUGGAGGAGAAGUAAGAAAUGGGGAGCGGAGAGAAGGAGGAGGGGUGGUUUUCGCUGGGUUUCAGAGAGACUUUGGAGGAGAGAUCUUUUAGCUGAGAGUUGCAGGCAGCUUGAGGGAGAAUAAGGUAAAGGUAUGACUGCCAUUAAUCUUUUAUUUUUCUUUGUUGGUAAAUAGUCUCUUUUCUCGAUAUUUUAUGUGGAUGGCUUGACUUGUGUUUAGUUUUUAUGGUUCAUGUUUGGUUGCUAUCUCUUUCAUUUUCUUUGAGAUGAUUCGAAAGCAGCACAACUCUUGUUUAGUUUUCUUGUACAUCAUGUGGGAGUUCUGUUUUGCCUUCAUUUUCCAUGGGAUGCCUUCUACUUCACUCACCCUCAUCAAGGCCCAUUGAUAAAAAUAUGGAAUGUGGCUUGUAUGAGUUCCUUUUCGUUUCUACCAUUGGUGCUCUGUUUUAGAUCUUUCCCCUGUUUCUGGUACUUGUCCUGGGUGAGCAUCUGUUUUCUCACUUCUGCCCGAGGGAGCAAGGAAUUUCCAAGAAUGUAUUUCAAUAGUAAUCAUAUACCUGUCGCCAUUGUCGUUGUGCCAAGGAUGCUUCCUAAUACCUGCAUUUUGCCAUUAUGCCUUCUCUGGUCUCUCUCCUCUCUUAUCAGAGCCACUCUCAACCUCGAUAUCCCUUUCCCCCAUCAGCACCCUAACCCUGAAGUUGUUGUUGACGAAGUUCAAAGGAGACUCAAUGCAUCCUUAUCGGGAAGAUAAGUGCUCCCUAUACAGGAAAGCGACGGGUUGUCGUGUCUCACCGGUAACCCCGUUGACGACUGCUGGCGGUGCGACCCCAACUGGCAAAACAACCAGCUGCGCCUCACCAACUGCGGCAUUGGGUUCGGCCAAGACGCUAUGAGCGGCAAAGGCGGUCAGUUCUAUGUGGUCAUCGACUCCUUCGACGAGGACCCCAUCAACCCCACCCUGGGCACUUUCCAGCACGCUGUGAUCCAGACUCAACCCCUGUGUAUUACCUUCUCCACCAGCAUGCUCAUCAAACUCAAACACGAGCUCAUCGUCAACAGCUUCAAGACCAUAAUCAAGCAGUGAUCGAAGAUGGAGGUGGAGGUUGACGAGAAGGAUCUGAAGGCUACCGGAGCGGAAAUGUUGACGGAUGGAUGGCAUGGAUUACAUAUCCAUGGUUGGGAGAUCGAGUCUAGCAAGCGUUCCAUUCUCAACUCUCUAAACCUCCAACAGUGGGAGGAAAAACUUCAAACAUCACACUUGCCGGAGUUCUCAGGUUUGAAGAUCCAGCCGAGUCGAGCCUCUCGUUCUAUGGUUGCGGCAGGUCGGAGUUCGAGAGUAGGUCGCUGUGUUGGAGGAGUCGUGUGCGAGGCUCAGGAGAUUGCUGUUGAAGUAUCUGCUGUGACUGAUGCAACCUGGCAGUCAAUUGUUCUUGAUGCUGACACCCCAUUCUAGUUGAAUUCUGAGCUCCAUGGUGCGGUCCCUGCCGCAUGAUCCACCCGAUAAUCAAUGAACUGGCAAAGCAAUGCAUUGGGAAGCUCAAAUGCUACAAAGUGAACACUGAUGAGAGCCCUUCUAUUGCAACACGGUACGGGAUUAGAAGCAUACCAACUGUCAUCAUCUUCAAGAGCAGGGAGAAGAAAGAAGCAGUUAUUGGUGCUAUUCCCAAAUCCACAUUGACCACCAGCAUUGGGAAAUUCUUAUAGAGGUGUAACAGAUCCUGUGAAGUCUUUGAGAAGACUAUGACUUCAAUGGUAAUUUCACAUCAGAUGAGAGAGUUUGCUAAGUCGACAAGGGGGUGACUCAGGAAAGAUGCAGCUGCAACCACCCUUUGACCCACGUGACAUGUCCCAUUUCACCAUCUUUAAUUUGAAUAAUAUUUUUUCUAAACCUCAUUCUUCAAAUAAUUCCUUAGAUUUUAGUUUGUUUAAAAAUAAUUUUAACUCUUCCAUUCUUCGUCCCUAGCAUUUUUUUUAGGUUUCCUGAAAAUCCGUUUUCCAAUAAGCAUAGAUUCAAUUCCAUGAUCGACAUACAUUUUUCACAACUUCCAUGAUUUUAAAAUGUUUUAAAAUAAGCAUAGAUUCAAUUCCGUAAUUCCAAUUAAUGGAAUUUACGAAAUUAAUUCAUGCUAAAAUAAAACGGGCUUUGGUGGGGGCCCAACAUUAUUGGAUGUUUCCUUUGAAAAUCCAUUUGAUUGAAUUGUGACUUGUGAUGAUUUAUUGCUCGGUUUAGUGACAUGGGUGCUACAUUUUAUGCUCAUCAAUUGUGCAUUAACCCCAUUUUUUGAUAGCGCAUUGUGGCUCGUUACCCAAGUACGCAUCCGCUCCCAUUCCUGUCAUUCUCUACGCAUGUUCUGAUUCUCAUAUAUGCAUGAUCGAUUCGGGUAUUUAUUGAUUCAUUAUUAGAUACCAUGAUUGUUUUAUCUCAUUAGUAGAGACUCGACUUUAGGGACUUAGAGGGGUGCUAAGGUCUCUACCGUACCUUCCUGAUAAGUAACCUGACCCUCGAACCCGAUCCAGUUUUUCACAUACCACCUUUUCCAAAAUAAGGAAUCGCACUUAGGGUUUUCUUUCUUAUUUUGUUUACCCUUUAAAAAUAAGUGACGACUCCAAGUCAUUUUACUAAAAAAUAAAAAAUAAGUCAUUUUUCAAAUAAAAAUCGAGCUCGCCAUCGAGUGGAAGCGCAUGAGUCGAAAUGUGGGAUCCACAAAAUGGCGACUUCGAGUCAUUUUCUAAUAAAUAAAAUCAUUUUUUCAAAUAAAAAUCGAGCUCGCCAUCGGGUGGGAAACGCAUGAGACAAAAUGCGGGGUCCACAAUAGUACAACUUAAUAAUAAAUAUACAUAUAUAAAAUGAGGAUAUUAUAAUUAAAUAUAAUAUAUAUAUAACUUCAAAAUAUUUAUUAUUACUUCUUAUAUAAUAUUUUAAAAUUUUUUUAUUAUUUUUAUGAGUUUUGAUUCAUUUUUACAUCAUCCAUAUUUUGUGUCAAAAUAUUCAUCUAAUAUUUUUUAAUAUAUCCAUAAAACCAAGUUAUGGAUAUAUCCAUCAAAACUGAUAUUUUCAUUAUUAGGUAUGAGUAGUUAUAUGAAAAUUUAACAUUUAUGAAAAAAAAUUUAUGAUUCAACUCUAUCAAAUACAAUUUUAAUAUUUAAAAAAAUGAUAAUAAAGGAUGGUCAAUAAAUUCACUAAAUUAAAAUUAAAGUAUCUUAAAUGAUUAAAUAUGAAAUGUUAAAAACACACACAUAAAAGCAAUUACCCACAAGGUGAAUUUGAAAAUGAUUAGGUGACACAUAUCAAUUAUGAAUCAUUACGCUUUGAUAAACAACCGAUAUAGCCAAUAUUUGUGAGUCGAAAGAUGGUCGAAACCAUCAUAACACCCACCCCCAUCUGUCAGGCCCCCUCACCUCAUAAUGUGAUGGGAUGAAGACAAAGAAGACUACUAAGAGCUUAUCUUUUUCGUGUUCCAGGAUAUGCCCGUCCUCAAAGCUUUAUUUCCUUGAUAUCCAAAAAGGAAGUAAAAUAUUGUGAAAUUUAAAGAAGUUUAACUAACCUAAAUUAAAAUUAUUUUAGUCUGGUUAUUAGGUAUAGCAACUUCAACAAAGAUAUGAUCAAUGUCAUAAAUAUUUGAUAUCAUGUUUGAGCAUUUCCAAUAUAAGUAAGCCCAUUAUUUGGUCCACGUUAGGUGAAUUCCAAACAUGAACAACACAACCCACUCAAGCUAUCCAACUUGAACAUAUGUAUUAACUAACAUGAACUAACGUGAUUUCAACAUAAGUUUAGAAAAACUAGAGUUGGAUUGGGCUUGGGUCGGGAAACUCCACUGAACAUCAGGUCAACUUGACCAUCACCUUGACCAAACCCAAAACCCAAGUGAAAGAGUUCCCUUGGCAAUUCACUGUGAAGCACUAAGGGGGUGUUUGGUACGUCGGAAUAGGGAAUGAAAAUAAUAUUUUGUUUCCUUUCCUAUUUCUUAGUGGAAUGGAAUGAAUUUGAUGAUUCCAUUUCUAGCAUUUGGAUGAACUUAGGAAUGCAAUAUUGGAAUGAUUAUUUGUUUCCAUUCCAAUGUUUGAUAAUAAUAGGAAUGAAAAUGAAAAAGAAAUAAAUUUACAAUAAUAUCCUUACAUAUAAUUUAAAAUAUUUUUUUAUUUUUACUUUUAUUUUAAAAAAAUAAAAUUUGAGAGGUUUUUUGUUAUUAAAUAAUAAGACUAAAAAAUAUAUAUAUACUCAAUAAAUAAAAAAUUAACCAUAAAAAAUCGUAUAACCUUAAUGCACAAAUAUUCAAUUAUUAUUUUUAUUAAAAAUUUGAAUAAUUUGUCAUGCUUAAGUAGUUAUAAAAUUAUAUUUUUCAAAAAAAAAUUAUUUAUUAUAAUAUUUAAAUUCUCAAAGCUAAUAAAUGUUUUUCCUAUUUUCAAAAGAGGAAAUAAAAGAAUUCAAAUUUAUUCUAAUUUUCAACAAGUAUCAUAUCCGAUAAAAUCCAUAACCUUAAAAAAUUUUAAAUAUUCGUUUUUUUUAUCAAAAUUUUAAAUAAUUAGAAAUUGAUUUUUUUUUUUUAAAUAUCGUGGAAGGUUUAAUUGAUUCAAUUUGAAAGAAUCACUUGUUGCAAAGAAUUGGAUGAUGAGUGGGUCUCUAACUUUGCAAAGAAGAUAAGAAGUGGAUAAUGAAUGGAUCUCUACCUUUGCAAAGAAUAUAAACAUCGGGUUUGAAGAAUAAGAUAAGAGGGUAAAAUAAUAAUUUAAGUUUUUUUAUAUUAUCAAAUAGGUUUAAUGAAUCAGAAUACCACCUACUUUUAAUGAAUGCAAAUCCGACUCAUAAGUUGGAUUUGAUUUCUGCCGGAAUAAUUUUUUAUUUCAUUUCUGUCUUCUUAACAUUUAUCCAAACAUAGGAAUAAGGGAGAAAAUGAAUGAGAUGUCUAUUCCCACUCCCUAUUCCCGUGUACCAAACACCCCCUAAGGGAAUUCUUAGGGUAAUUCCUAUUUUAUUUUGCAUUAGAAAACAGGAAGUUACAUCAAUAAGAUCUCAACUUACUAUAUAAGUCGAGAUAGGCAAGCUAUUAUGCAUGAACGUUGAAAUGGAGCAAGUGCUAUGGAGACAUUUCUCUGGGCAAAAAGCUCUUUGAGAUCAAUCCAAACAUGUGUUGUAGAUGCAUGAUGCAUGUUGUCUCCAAUUUCUGCAAAAACAGCAUUAAGACCCAAAUCAAUUUCACUCUAACAUUACAGGGAAAUGGCUCUAGAAAUGCAUGAGUAAUUUUGGAGAAGGAAAAAUUCUGUAGUAUUCCUCCUGAUACCAAAUUUAUACAUUACUGUUUAAAAUUACAAAUACAUAAUUUCACCAGUCUUCUACAAUGAAGGGUUCAAAUUUUUGCACCACCUAUUUAAAAUUGCAAUUAAGAAAUAGAAAAUAAUAAUAAAACCACAUUAUGAUGUCCAAAUGCAAUAAAUUAUAUGGGUAUGCAUAUAAGGCAAACGUCAUUUGUACAUUAGGCUUUCAUGUGGGGAACUCAUGCCAUGCCAUACAGUUCAAGCUAAUAUCUUUAACCAAACUCGACUCAAUCCAAGGUCAAACAAAGCUCAGCCUGAAUUAUCUCAUACUAUGACUCUAUCUAAUUGCAAAUCCAAACUAGUAUGCUUCAUUGAUUGAACUGAAUUUAUGGUAUAUAUCAUCUGCCACAGCAAAAGCAGACAGACUUCAUUUGAGUUUAAAUCCUUCAGAGACUUAUCAAAGAGUAUUUUGAUAUCCAACUCGAUAUCCAAAACGCAUAUCUGGUUGGUUAUACUUAGUAUUUUGAUAGUUUCUUUGAUGUCCAUUGCAUCAUUCACUAUAAUGAAUGCAAGCCAAAGGUAGUUGAAGGUAUGUUUCAAUCAAUUGGGGGAUGGGCUCUCCUCUAGUCCUGAGUAGAAACCCCAAAAGCUUUUACAAACUCAAACAGUUAGAUUUUUGAACCACUGACCAAAAGUUGUAACUGGAAAGAAGGACAACUUACAGAGAAAUUGAGAAAUUUAUAGUGCUCGCUGAUGAAAUAAACAUAGCAGCAUCUGAAGAAAUGAGUGAAAGGUAUGUCUUUCUUAAAUGAUUAGCUCCAACCAUUGCAAAUCUCAUCUUCAUUCUGACUUAUUCCCAUUUUAGGAAACUAUGGUAUCUCAUAAUUGUUGUCCAUGCUAGUACUACCAUUCCUAGAAUGAAGCAAAUCAAUCCAAAUACUACAAAAGCAUUCCAACAGUUUCCUCACAAGAGUUUUUCUCUCCUCCGGUUUGGCUUCAUGACAGAUGAACAAAUCCUCAUUACUGCAGGGACUUCCACUGGGUCCCUCCUCAUCAAUGUCUUCAAUAAGGAGAGUUGAACGGGGAGGAGGAGGUGGAGAGAUGUAUUGGAUCAUUGUUGGGUUGUUGUCACUCACAUCUUCACUGCUGUAUACUAGGUGAAUCCCACACCUCUUAACCACAAAGUGCCUGCCGUAGAUUUGAAAUGCAGCCUUAAAGUGAUUCACUUCAUGCCACUUGAAGGAACUGACAACUGGUGCAUACCCCAGCCAAAGGUGAUCUGACUCGAUUAAUGCAGGCCCAGAAUUAUAAUGGAAGACAUUAUCACGGUAAGAAGCAGCGGAAUUUUGGAAACUGAAUAUACAAAAUAAGCAAAAAACUUUAUGAUUAGGGUUGUAAUCGGGCAGGGGAUCGAAACCAAAGACAGCAGAAAGUGCAAAACCCAGGAAGUUGCUAUUAAACCAAUUUGGAGGUAGCUCUAUAUUUACUACAUUCCCAGAGCUCUGAUAGCUGAACCAAUCUGGUAUUUCACUUCCAGGAACAACAGUGCUGAAUUCAAUGGUCACACUCUCUGGGUUAUCCUGUACAUGAGAAUCAUGAUGAUGUUGAAACUCUUCUCUAAUUGUUUUCAAUAAAUAAACUUCAGAUUUCUUGAUAGUAUAACAGUGGAGCCACGUGGUACUCAUUUUUCAUCAAUUUCAACUGUAUGAUAUUACUGCAUAAUGAAAAUAAUGAUAUCAGAGAUAGAGAAUGAACUCACCCGAGCAUAUCUAGACCUCUUGUGAGUUUGAAGAAAAGUUGCCAGAGCCUGCAACAUGGACCCAAUGUUGUUUUGAUAGGUUUUAAUUUUCAAACAUUCACCAAAAGAGACAUGUCUAAGAGACGGGAAGAGUGACCGGUUUGAGAUUGUUUCUAAUGACAUGCAAUUAUGUGCAUCUAUCUCCUUUAUGCUUGAUGGAAGCUCCGACAAUGCUUGAAGCCUUCUGCAAUUUUGCAACUUAAGGCUUACAAGCUGAGAAAGUUGACUCAUGCUUGAAGGAAGGCUAAUAAAGUUAUUCCCACUUAAAUCCAAAUAUUCCAGCGAAGAUAAGAUUGCAAGGUGACUCAGGUCUGCUCCUUCUGAUAUAUUACAGUCUCUCAAAUUCAGUUCUUUUAGAGAGCCCAAACCUGACAACGGAGACAAUAGAAAUUUGCCGGAAUUUGAACUUUUUCUUGGCAACAACGUUAACCAUGAGGCAGAUGGUGGUCCUUUACAUCCAUUAAAGGAUAAUACUUGAAG